CUCUCUCUCGUCCGUUUUUUACGUCUUUCUCUCUCUUUUCCACUUUUCUUUCUAUCGCAAUCUCCCUCUAUCUCACUUUCACUACUUACAACGAAAUAGUUGGUAGAUGAUUGUAUAUAAUCGAAGUUUUCGACGAGUGCGUAUAUGCAGGCACGCGUUACACACUCCACACGAAUAAACAAUAGAUGCUGUUUCGGUAGGUCGAUUUCCGAUAGAAUUCUUCGACGGAUGCAAACUCACGCACGCUGCACGUAUUAUGAGGAUUCUACGAACGUCUUAAUUGACAUCUUCUUGGUCAUAUAAAUAUAUUUAUAUAGAGAGAGAGAGAGAGAGAGAGA